UCGGGUUGUAAAGCACUUUUGUCCGGAAAGAAAACUUCUGCCCUAAUACGGCGGGAGGAUGACGGUACCGGAAGAAUAAGCACCGGCUAACUACGUGCCAGCAGCGCGGUAAUCGUAGGGUGCGAGCGUUAAUCGGAAUUACUGGGCGUAAAGCGUGCGCAGGCGGUUCGUUAAGACAGAUGUGAAAUCCCCGGGCUUAACCUGGGAACUGCAUUUGUGACUGGCGAGCUAGAGUAUGGCAGAGGGGGGUAGAAUUCCACGUGUAGCAGUGAAAUGCGUAGAGAUGUGGAGGAAUACCGAUGGCGAAGGCAGCCCCCUGGGCCAAUACUGACGCUCAUGCACGAAAGCGUGGGGAGCAAACAGGAUUAGAUACCCUGGUAGUCCACGCCCUAAACGAUGUCAACUAGUUGUUGGGGAUUCAUUUCCUUAGUAACGUAGCUAACGCGUGAAGUUGACCGCCUGGGGAGUACGGUCGCAAGAUUAAAACUCAAAGGAAUUGACGGGGACCCGCACAAGCGGUGGAUGAAGGGGGAUUAAUUCGAUGCAACGCGAAAAACCUUACCUACCCUUGACAUGGUCGGACCCUGCUG
rnacentral:rRNA from 1 species